UCGUUACCCGAGCCCAGCGCCGGGCCAAUGUCCUAUCUCAGGGUUUCCCACGUCGCUCGCUCCUUGACGGCUGACCGACACUGGGUCUGAGGUGUAAGCGCUUUCCAGGCCCUUCCCUGGGGCUUGGAGGGGAAUGGCGCAAAGGACUUUUCUUACAAGCAGAGCCACUGCAGUUACCAAAGAGUAUGUCGCUUAUUGUCUAAGAGGUUGGACUCCUGAAAGCCUGGACAGUGUCAUCAUCUUCACCUGAAGAGUGGAAAAAUUCAAGCAAAGAGUUUCUCAGGAAAUGACCAAGUAAAACAUCUGGAGUAAGUCAGCAGGAUUCACAGUGACUCCCCCCAACCAGCUGGUGGUGUUUCUCUCUGAAAGCAGCGCUUGGUACCAGUGUGAACUCUCUUCCUUCAGAAGUCUCAUCAGGUGGACGUAAUACGAGGGUCUGGUCCCCCAUACCUUGAGGACUCCGCUGCCAUCUGACAAUUACAGACAAUCCAAUUGUCCUCAUCCUUGAGGACUCUGCUGCCAUCUGACAAUUAGAGACAGUCCAAAACAUGCCACACUUUGAUCCUAAACACAUUCCUGGCUUUGGUCACUUUUGAAAAGUUCCUGAGUUAUGAGAAAUCAAUAAUAAGAGUGUUCAAAACCUGAACACUCUUUUUAGAAAUACCUGCUGGAACUACAUAUAUGAUUUAUGGGGUACUGUCUUGUAGUAUCUGGGAAAGUAGACCCAUCUAACCUGGAAUGAUCAUAGGCAACAAUGACCAAAAAUGGGGAUCUUUUGAUAUACCUAAAGUAAUUUAUUUGUGCACACCAUUGGAAAGAGCUGGUUUUAGAACCAGACAUGUAAAUAAGAGACUGACUUCCACUGGCACCUAAAAACUUCUAAAAGAAAUCCUGAAAGAAAAAGUCACCUUCAUUCAAGAGUACCGCAGAACAGAGAGACCCUCUCUCUCAAAACAACAAACAAGGGCUGGGCGCGGUGGCUCAAGCCUGUAAUCCCAGCACUUUGGGUGGCCAAGGCAAGCAGAUCACGAGGUCAGGAGAUCGACACUGUCCUGGCUAAUACGGUGAAACCCCGUCUCUACUAAAAAUACAAAAAAUUAGCUAGGCGUGGUGGCAGGUGCCUGUAGUCCCAGCUACUCGGGAGGCUGAGGCAGGAGAAUGGUGUGAACCUGGGACGCGGAGCUUGCAGUGAGCCGAGAUCGUACCACUGCAUUCCAGCCUGGGUGACAGAGCGAGACUCCAUCUCAAAAACAAACAAACAAAAAUGAGAUUCAACCUCCUCCCAUCUCUCUGCUGUCUUCAGUACCACAUGAAAAGAUCUAGAGGAGACUUCUAAUGACUCAGACCCCUAAAGGAAGACAGAAAAAGCUGCCUCUCACUCCCUUUCUGGGGUCUUCUGUCUUCCUGUGGAGUGUGAAGAGUCAUGGAGAGAUUUCAUGACAGUUUCCAGCACAAAACUCUGCUCUCUUUUGUAUCGUGUCGCCUGAUCCCUUUGACUUUUAGGAGUACUGGAUAUUACUUUGUUCUGUGAGAGAACACUUAACCUUUGUGUAUGUGAUGGCUGGCAAGUUACUGGAGGUGGCUGACAGCAGUUGUUUACAGUGAAUGGUUAUUAUUAUUACUACAGGGAGUUACUGGUUUCUUUGCUGGUUAAGAUAAGAAAGGCACGGUUUAAAUACUUAGAGAAAUGUUUUUGUAUUGAAGUACACCAUGAAAGUGUUGCAUAGCCCAGUCCCAUGGAGUUUCCCUCUUUUUGGGGACCCAGGAUUCAGCCUAAAAAUGGAAUCCUUAAUUUAUAAAGCUCUAGAUGCUCUGCCUUCAAUUGCAUCUGCUUUUCACAUAUUUAAAUUAUUAGGCUCUAAAAACUGUAAAUGCUUUGAUGGCCCUGCUCCUUAAUGGGCUCUGCCCUGAGCUCAGUGAUCCAACUGGAAAACAGACUAAAUUAAAAGCUACUUAUCUAAGUGAAAUAGGUCUCCUUAUAAAAUCCAAUGAUAGAUUCCUGUGAUUUUGUAUUACCUUGGCAUCCAUUUUUAAUUUUCUUCCAACACACCCAAACUCCUCCUUGAAAAGGCUUAAAUUCUUUCUCCUUGUACUUUGAGAUAUAAAGUUACUACUGCAUUUUCUCUAAAACUCAGUACGAGCUUCAGCCAUGUGGAACAGAUAAACUUUAAACUUUUCCAUUUACAAAGGUACAGUUUGAAUCCAACUGUCCUUGUAAAACUAGUGAGUUUUACCAGUCUCAUGACUAAAAUUUUUUUCUCUGCUUGGUUUUGUUUUGUUUUUCUUACCUCAGUUCACCAGCAGUUUCAAUGUGGCUAAAAUUUUUUAAUUAAAGCUAUGAAGUCAUUAUCUGUGUCUGUCUGAUUUAUGUGUACCAUGUAUACAUGUCUGUUUAUAUAUUGUCUACAUGGUACCACUGACUUAUAGAAAACGUGCUCAUAAAUAAUAUAACCAACCCAAAUGCUUUCCAUGGUCACUUGACUUUAGUAAUCUUGGGUUUAAAUUAAGAUAGUUUUUAAAUUAUUGGUAAAGUAAAAUAGAAACGUCUUCAAAUUUUAAUUUAGACAUGUUUGCCUAGAUCUAUUGGUUAGACUGGUUUAUACUGUCUCUGCUAAAUGUCUUAAGGUCAUAAGGCCAUUGCUUUUAUGGUAUUUUUUGGUAUUUGCUUAAUUUGUCUAUGAGCUUAUGUCUUUGGAUUUGAGCCUUUAGAUUCUGAGGACUAGACAAGUGGCCCUGGGGACAGUGCCUGGGCCCCAUCAUCCCUAGUUGAGCUGUGCCUCUUGGCUUUACUGCAAGGAGUUGGAUCCUCCAGGCAUUGUCUCCAUAGCACUGUCAUUUGUCCUGAGCUCUGCAUACGGUACAUAAAGUUGCUUACUUCUUAGGUUUUUCACUGAAAAUUAGGGUUACUAAGAGUUAACAUUGUGGUUAAUAUAUGUAACUAAAACUACUAGGCCAGAAAUUUACAUAGAGAGCAUAUAAAGAAGAUGUAAAGAAAGUUGAAAAGGGUAAUUUUUUUCCUUUACGUAAGAGGGGACUUUGGUCAAAAUGAUAAGGGGGAUAGUAAAUCUUUGUCCUAAGUAGAAUACCAAUAUAAGAAAAAUGAAGUAUAGGACAAAACUGAAGGUGUAAGCAAGUUGUAAAAGGUUUGUAUAAGAUUAAUCUCAUGAAAAGAAUUUUGUAUGUGAUAAAGUUGGCUAAAAUUAGAAGGAGAUUAUUAACUUUUCUAAAAAUUAUGCAUUGAUAUUUAAAGCACACUGAUGUGGGACCCCUGUUUCAGAAUAACAGGGCUUUCUUGGAGCAUUAAUCUGCUCUUUAAUAGAAAAAUUUUUAAAGGUUAUAGAAAUUUUAUGCAGUUAAAACUGAGGGCUAGAUGCGGUGGCUCACACCUGUAAUCCCAGCACUUUGGAAGGGUGAGGUGGGCAGAUCACCUGAGGUCAGGAGUUUGAGACCAGCCUGGCCAACAUGGUGAAACACCAUCUCUACUAAAAAUACAAAAAUUAGCUGGGUAUGGUGAUAGGUGCCUGUAAUCCCAGCUACUUGGGAGGCUGAGGCAGGAGAAUCACUUGAACCCGGGAGGCAGAGGUUGCAGUGAGCUGAGAUCAGGUCAUUGCACUCCAGCCUGGGUAACAAGAGUGAGACUCCAUCUAAAACAAACAAACAAACAAACAAACAAAAAACAAAAAAAAAUACCUGCCUGAGAUUUGAUAGAUUUGUUUAUAAGGAUUUAAUGAAAUUAGCCUUAGGAUUAAUAAUAUACUGAUGCAAAAGUAAAAUUUGGUUUUCUCUUUUGAAUAAGAUUUUUAAGUAUUUUUAAGAAACAGUAAAAAAAAGUUCACCUUUUAAGUAAAAAAAAAAAAUGGGAAAGAGAGAUUCUGUUGGUCUCAUGCCGUCUUUAUAAGGUCUUUGGAUUGUUUGGAAAACCGAGUUUACUCUCUAUCAAAGAGUAAAGGGUUUUGCUUUUUGCAAUCUUUGAAUUAUCACUUUGGCUAAAUGAAUGAAUACUAUUUUACAGUGACUUAUGAUCCUAUUUGGUCAAAUAUUUUAAACUUUUAAAUUGGACAUACUUCCUAAAAUCAAAUUUCAAAUUCUAAAAUUAAGUAUUUUCCAAAAGGAACCUCUGGAAGUCCAAGAGAGGAAUAUUAGGCAUAUUUAGCAUGUUAAAAUCAUAUGGAAAGCAUUGUCAAAGAAAUAAUGGUGUUUAACUUUCUUUGAGUUAUAUUAGGAUGAAUGUGUUUUGUAUGAGAUUCCUAAAAUUUUAAUGUGUCUUGGUAUAUGUUAUCAGUCAUAAUUAUGAUUAUUAUGUUAAACUGUUGUAAACCACAGGAAUAACCAAAUUUCCUUGUCAAUUGCAUCUUUAACCAUGGCUAUUCUAAGUCUUUUGCUAUCUAAAACAAUUAGUUUUAUUUCUCUUCUCAUAAAGCAGUUACAAUUGUCUAUAAUUCAAAAUUUGCUUUUUCUUCAAGGAAAUUCAUAGAAUAGGACCCUGACAAGUACUCUUGAAUACAGGUUUCUGAUAACUUUGGAGAUCAUAUCAUUGGACUAAGUAACAACUUUCAGGUAUGUAAUAAACUGAUGUGUUCCUUAGAUUGCUAACUCAACAUCAAGCAGAACACGAAUUAAUUACAUGUGACUGAACUGACAGAAGACUGAAAAGAUUUGCUGACUUUUUAUUUAAAACAUUGCUGGUUUUUUUUUUUAUUUUGUCUUCCAGAGUCAAGAAAACUUUUUUUCCUUGAGCUAUUUAUUUAUACUUUAUAACAAUUGGGUAAAAAUACCUUUGUGAACAACAUUGAAACAUCUGCCUUUCUCUCUACCUGAUUACUCCAAAAUUUGGAAACUAUUCAUGAGUACUCUUAUUUUAUGGCAAUCUAGUUAUUUGCAUACAUUUAAUAAGAAUCUUUUUUCUGUAACAGGAUAUAAUUGGAGACACUUGUUAUUUUACUAAGGAUUUGACUGGAAUGACAUAUUUUCAGAUAUGACCAGACUGCUUUGAAGAAUGGAGGUUGACUCUAUAGAGGCAAUUAGAAAGCCUCUUGGAAAGACUGGCCUGGUCCCUUGUCUACGUAGUUCCCUUUCAAGAUUUCUGUCCUGUGUUAAGUAAAGAAUGUCACUUUCUGACAGGCCUGGGAACCUCAAAAUAUUUCCGCUGUGUAUCUCUCAUUGUUUUAUUUCUUCUGAGAAAACUAAAUUCAUGGUACACUGAAGAGGUGAUUCCACAAGUGAUGGCAGCUAUAAAUCAAUGACUGGUAGGACUACCUGGGCAUGAGCCUUUCUGGCAAUGAGGGAUACCUUGACACUCAGAUUUUGAUCAUCAGUGCUUUCAAAAGGAAAGAUUUUUGAUCAAAAGGAAGAAAUGAGAAAAAGAACUUUUAUCUGAAGAAUGCAAGUCCUUUCCAAUUAUCAGAUCCAGAGAGGUAUUAAAAUGAGACGGCAAUCCUGUCCUACACACACCCCCUUUUGAGGCAUGUACUCAUCUUUUUAUACUGCUUACUAUUGCCACAAGUAGCUGAAAAUUAGCCUACUGGUGCUGCACCAGACAUUAUAACCCAUAUCCUAUAGCUUAAUAAUGGAUAGCCAAUCAACAGCUUAUGUUAUGUUAAUGUAAAUUAUUGGUAAAUAACUCAGGAACUGCCUCUUCUUUCCUUUUAAAAACCCACUUGUGGGCCGGGCGUGGUGGCUCACGCCUGUAAUCCCAGCAUUUUGGGAGGCCAAGGUGGGCGGAUCACAAGGUGAGGAGAUCAAGACCAUCCUGGAUAACACAGUGAAACCCUGUCUCUACUAAAAAUACAAAAAAUUAGCCGGGCGUGGUGGCGGGCACCUGUAGUCCCAGCUACUCGGGAGGCUGAGGCAGGAGAAAGGCGUGAACCCAGGAAGCAGAGCUUGCAGUGAGCUGACAUGGCACCACUGCACUCCAGCCCGGGCAACAGUGCGAGGCCCUGUCU
rnacentral:lncRNA from 1 species